AGGGCACCACCAGGAGUGGAGCCUGCGGCUUAAUUUGACUCAACACGGGAAAACUCACCCGGCCCGGACACUGGAAGGAUUGACAGAUUGAGAGCUCUUUCUUGAUUCAGUGGGUGGUGGUGCAUGGCCGUUCUUAGUUGGUGGAGUGAUUUGUCUGGUUAAUUCCGAUAACGAACGAGACUCUAGCCUACUAAAUAGAUCGUCGGCUUACAAACGCCGGCGAGACUUCUUAGAGGGACAGGCGGUGAUUCAACCGCACGAAACAGAGCAAUAACAGGUCUGUGAUGCCCUUAGAUGUCCGGGGCCGCACGCGCGCUACACUGAAGUGAUCAGCGUGCUUUUUCAACCUACUCUGUCAAGAGUGGGGAACCCAAUGAACCUUCUUCGUGAUUGGGAUAGGGGACUGUAAUUAUUCCCCUAGAACGAGGAAUUCCCAGUAAGCGCGAGUCAUAAGCUCGCGUUGAUUACAUCCCUGCCCUUUGUACACACCGCCCGUCGCUACUACAGAUUGAAUGUUUU
rnacentral:rRNA from 1 species